AUGCCCCGCAGUUGCGGGGUGGAAAAUGGUGGCCUUGUAGGCUGGCUGCCUUCCUGGAAUCCUAGAAUGCUUUCCCCAGGCCCUCGUGGUUGGGGCCCACAUGCAGCAAAAGAAAAAAGAAAUCAGAAAUCCAAGUUGGAUUCUCCCUGAGACCGUUACUGCAGAAACUUCUAGCAAGGAAGAAGCCAAGGUCCUCAGAGGCCCCACUGCUGUGGUGGCCGAGCCAGCCGGGCCCUCAUCUCCAUUCUUCCCCUCGGAUCCUAUAUUCCUCCAAGUGCAGUGACCCCUACCACCUGCAACAGAGACCUCAGGGCAGGGGACACGUGUUAAACAUGCAGGUCCUGGGGCACGACCAGCCUUGCUGCCUCCAACUCUGCACUGACUUACCUCUCCAGGUGAUUCGGACGCAAAAUUGCAACAUGAGAACUGCUGUUCUUCCUUCCUGACCCAGUUUCUUCUCAGAUCCAAAGCAUACAGUGGGCUACGCGUGGGGCAAGGGGUUUUCCAUCCCUUGCCUCUUUUGAACCCCUAAAACAUUCCAAAAAUGACUGUUGGGUGUUGGGAAAGAAACUGACAUUCAGGGGGGUUUGCUGUGGAACUGGGAUUUGAACCUGGAAUGUGUCCGCUUUCCCAUGAGUGCAGCUGUGCCACCCUCAUUGUCCUGGGCCCGGGUCUAACUUUGUAAUUUGCUGGUAAAAGCUGGUCGCUGCAGCCUAGAGGCACAGGAGGAGCAUCACUCAGACAGCUCAGGGUGGGGGUGGGGUCCGCAGCUCAGAGAGCAGCCUUAAAGGGGAGUGUCAGCAUUUGGGCCCAGGGAGGGGCGUCAGCUGGGGUUUGUGGUCACAGUCAGCAGAAACUCGCUGUGGGUUACUUAAGUGGGAAAGGAACCUGGUAAAGGCUACUAGGCGGCCCACAUCCUCUGAGAGAGUUAGAGAACCCAGCUUGGGAGGUCUCACUGUGCCCAUCACCCCUCAGCUCCCACUAGGGGGCACUGACAUGGCAGCCUGUCCCAGUGACACCCAGACCUGGCCAUUCCCCGCAAAGCCUCUGUCCCUGCUGACUACAGACCCUGGAUGGAAGCACUGCUUCCUUAGGUCUGGCUUCCCCAAAUACCUGCCCUGGGGGUGUGUGGUGGGUGAGUCUGAGGCCUGUGCCAGCCCUCACUGCAAAGCAUGCUGGUAAAUUGAAGCUGUCUUGUCAGGGAAGUGUCAUUAGGUGGAGAAUUCACCAGACAUGGGAAGGCAGCUUGAAAACAGCAUCUUAUAAGGAUGUCAGUGUCCACUGAGACCAGGAAUGCAUAGUCGAAGACCCCGCUGUUAAUGAGGGCUGCCAUGGCCCGGGUACCACGCCAGGUGGUUCACAUCUGUUAGCUUCACUCCCAUCUACAGAAAGCACGUCCAGUUUACAGAUGAGCAAGCUCAGGCCUAGGGUUGCAAGAUGCAUGCGUGACAGGUCGUGCCAUUGAGCCUGGGUCCAUCAGACACCUGAGCCAGGGCCAGUGACCACCUUUCACUGCUUUUUGCCUCCUGUAGCUGGGACCAGCCCCCACACUGCCAGAUGGCGGCCUGCAAGCCUGCCUCCCGGGUCAGCAGAAGGACCUCCAGCUGAGUCAGCCCCAAUGGGAAGCCCACCAAGCAGAGCAGGUGGACUUCCACUUACUUAGGUGGCAAGAAUUGCAUCAUAUGGCCACAUAGCUGUGUGCAAGCCUGGGCACAUUAUUGGAGCAAUACUGGGGUUCUGUUACAAAGGAAAGGGGAGCAUAGGUCCUGGGUAGGCAGCAGUCUCAGUCACUCUCGUCCAUGUGCUGAUCCAGCAAAGGGCCAAUUCAGGGUCAGCCAGUCCCUGCUGGGCCUGAGACGCCACAGGUAUCCAGCCUGGGCCUUUGGCCUCAUGCACCAGGCCAGACCGCUGUCAGGCUGCGCCCCCAGGAGCCCAUAUUCCUCUGCGUAAUCAUUCCUGGCCAGGUAUCACUUUACAGCCCAGAGCCCACCAGAAUUAUUCAGACCAGUCUAUCCUAAACUCUUCACCUUUCCCUGCCUUGCCUUUCCCUUGGAAACCCCAAUAAAGGCCGUGACCUAAGCAUGCUCCCCUCCCCCUCUCGGCCACCCUGUUCCCCACCCCCCCGCCCCCUCCUUCCCCACAUGGCAGGCAUGCCUCCUGUGGCUAGGACCUGUUCAAAGAAGAACGUUUGUUUUCCUGAGCUUCUGCUCUGUGGCUGCACCUGACAAACCAAGUCCUGAAAGAAUACAAGACAGGUCUCCAGAGA